AACAAAUUCACAGAAUAUUCACAAAGAGAUCAACGAUCUGAAAAUACCCAAUAAAUUCAUGGGAUAUUCAUAAAGAUCAAAACCCUCUCUUCUUAAUAAUCAAAUACAUUAAGAAGAUAAACCCUCCUUUCACGGAGAUCAAAUUCAAAUGUUCCUAUGUUCGAGAAAUACGCCACUAACGGCUCUCAAAUUACGGAGAAAUUCAUAUCCAAAUCUUCUUCCUACAUUCGAGAAAUACGCCACUGACGGCCCUCGAAUUAAGGAAAAAAUCGAGAGAGAAAAAUCAAGGGAGGAACAAGUUUAACAAGAAGCAAGAGAGAGCACGUGGAUCAAAACAAUAGAUUUCUGUACAAAUUCAAGAACAAGCUCAGGAUUUCAAGAUCAAGAGUUCAAGGUUCAAGAACAAGUUCAAGAUUUCAAGAUCAAGAGUUCAAGAUUCAAGAACAAGUUCAAGCUUCAAGAUCAAGACUACAAGAUUCAAGAACAAGCUCAACGACCCUUGAAUUUAAGUACAAGUCGAGAUCAAGUUCAUCAAGUCUUCAAUUCAAGUUCAAGUUCAAGUUCAAGAUCAAGACCGCAAGAUUCAAGAACAAGCUACCAAGCCCUUGGAUUCAAGCACAAGUCAAGAUCAAAUCCGUCAAGUUCAAGCUCGAAAUCCUUGAAUUUAUAGUUGAAAAGGCGAAUUAGAG
rnacentral:lncRNA from 1 species